rnacentral:rRNA from 1 species
UGUAGGCGUGCCCCUUAGGCAAAUCCGGGGGGCUGAGCUGAGGCGUGAUGACGAGGAACCACGGUUCCGAAGUGAUUGAUACCAAGCUUCCAGGAAAAGCCACUAAGCUUCAGUCUAGAGUUGACCGUACCGCAAACCGACACAGGUGGGCAGGAUGAAAAUUCCAAGGCGCUUGAGAGAACUCAGGAGAAGGAACUCGGCAAAUUAACACCGUAACUUCGGGAGAAGGUGUGCCCCGGUAGCGUGUAGAGACUUGCUCUCGAAGCGCGAUGGGGUUGCAGUGAAAUGGUGGCUGCGACUGUUUAAUAAAAACACAGCACUCUGCAAACACGAAAGUGGACGUAUAGGGUGUGACGCCUGCCCGGUGCCGGAAGGUUAAGUGAUGGGGUGCAAGCUCUUGAUCGAAGCCCCGGUAAACGGCGGCCGUAACUAUAACGGUCCUAAGGUAGCGAAAUUCCUUGUCGGGUAAGUUCCGACCUGCACGAAUGGCGUAACGAUGGCCACACUGUCUCCUCCCGACUCAGCGAAGUUGAAAUGUUUGUGAAGAUGCAAUCUACCCGCGGCUAGACGGAAAGACCCCAUGAACCUUUACUGUAGCUUUGCAUUGGACUUUGAACCGGUUUGUGUAGGAUAGGUGGGAGACUGUGAAGCCGGGACGCUAGUUUCGGUGGAGUCAACCUUGAAAUACCACCCUGAUUUGUUUGAGGUUCUAACCUUGGUCCGUGAAUCCGGAUCGGGGACCGUGCAUGGUAGGCAGUUUGACUGGGGCGGUCUCCUCCCAAAAGGUAACGGAGGAGUACGAAGGUACGCUUAGGGCGGUCGGACAUCGCCCACAAAGUGCAAUGGCAAAAGCGUGCUUGACUGCGAGACCCACAAGCCGAGCAGGUACGAAAGUAGGUCAUAGUGAUCCGGUGGUUCUGUAUGGAAGGGCCAUCGAUCAACGGAUAAAAGGUACUCUGGGGAUAACAGGUUAAUUCCUCCCAAGAGUUCAUAUCGACGGGGGAGUUUGGCACCUCGAUGUCGGCUCAUCACAUCCUGGGGCUGUAGUCGGUCCCAAGGGUAUGGCUGUUCGCCAUUUAAAGUGGUACGCGAGCUGGGUUUAAAACGUCGUGAGACAGUUUGGUCCCUAUCUGCCGUGGGCGCUGGAAAUUUGAAGGGGGCUGCUCCUAGUACGAGAGGACCGGAGUGGACGAACCUCUGGUGUACCGGUUAUGACGCCAGUCGUAUCGCCGGGUAGCUAAGUUCGGAAGAGAUAAACGCUGAAAGCAUCUAAGCGUGAAACUCGCCUUAAGAUAAGAUUUCCCGGAGUCUUGAACUCCCUGAAGGGUCGUCGAAGACACGACGUUGAUAGG